rnacentral:rRNA from 1 species
CCUACGGGGAGCAGCAGUGAGGAAUAUUGGUCAAUGGACGAGAGUCUGAACCAGCCAAGUAGCGUGAAGGAUGACUGCCCUAUGGGUUGUAAACUUCUUUUAUAUGGGAAUAAAAUGUUCCACGUGUGGGAUUUUGUAUGUACCAUAUGAAUAAGGAUCGGCUAACUCCGUGCCAGCAGCCGCGGUAAUACGGAGGAUCCGAGCGUUAUCCGGAUUUAUUGGGUUUAAAGGGAGCGUAGGUGGUUUGUUAAGUCAGUUGUGAAAGUUUGCGGCUCAACCGUAAAAUUGCAGUUGAAACUGGCAGUCUUGAGUACAGUAGAGGUGGGCGGAAUUCGUGGUGUAGCGGUGAAAUGCUUAGAUAUCACGAAGAACUCCGAUUGCGAAGGCAGUUCACUGGACUGCAACUGACACUGAGGCUCGAAAGUGUGGGUAUCAAACAGGAUUAGAUACCCUUGUAGUC